AGCUCCAAAAGUGUAUAUUUAAGUUGCUGCGGUUAAAAAGCUCGUAGUUGGAUUUGUGGCGCGGCCGUCCGGCGGGGGUCCUUCUAUGGUCUCGUUUGUCCUGGUUUUCGGCCGCUCCUUUCUCGGGUAGAGCGUAAUGGCUGGCAUUAGGUUGUCGGCCGCUUCGCGCCCGUCGUUUACUGUGAAAAAAUUAGAGUGUUCAAAGCAGGCUUAGGCCGUUGGAUACAUUAGCAUGGAAUAAUGAGAUAGGGCCACGGCGGUCUAUUUUGUUGGUUUGCACGUUGUGGUAAUGAUUAACAGGAACGGUUGGGGGUAUUCGUAUUCAAUUGUCAGAGGUGAAAUUCUUGGAUUUGUGGAAGACGAACUACUGCGAAAGCAUUUACCAAGGAUGUUUUCAUUA
rnacentral:rRNA from 1 species